rnacentral:rRNA from 1 species
ACGCUGGCGGCACGCCUAACACAUGCAAGUCGAGCGCUCUAACCACUUCGGUGGGGACGGGAGCGGCGGACGGGUUAGUAACGCGUGGGAACAUACCCUUUUCUACGGAAUAGCCUCGGGAAACUGAGAGUAAUACCGUAUACGCCCUUCGGGGGAAAGAUUUAUCGGUUAAGGAUUGGCCCGCGUUAGAUUAGUUAGUUGGUGGGGUAACGGCCUACCAAGACGACGAUCUAUAGCUGGUUUGAGAGGAUGAUCAGCAACACUGGGACUGAGACACGGCCCAGACUCCUACGGGAGGCAGCAGUGGGGAAUCUUAGACAAUGGGCGCAAGCCUGAUCUAGCGAUGCCGCGUGAGUGAAGAAGGCCUUAGGGUCGUAAAGCUCUUUCGCCUGUGAUGAUAAUGACAGUAGCAGGUAAAGAAACCCCGGCUAACUCCGUGCCAGCAGCCGCGGUAAUACGGAGGGGGUUAGCGUUGUUCGGAAUUACUGGGCGUAAAGCGUACGUAGGCGGAUUAGUAAGUGAGGGGUGAAAUCCCAGGGCUCAACCCUGGAACUGCCUCUCAUACUGCUAGUCUUGAGAUCGAGAGAGGUGAGUGGAAUUCCGAGUGUAGAGGUGAAAUUCGUAGAUAUUCGGAGGAACAUCAGUGGCGAAGGCGGCUCACUGGCUCGAUACUGACGCUGAGGUACGAAAGUGUGGGGAGCAAACAGGAUUAGAUACCCUGGUAGUCCACACCGUAAACGAUGAAUGCCAGACGUCGGGUAGCUUGCUAUUCGGUGUCACACCUAACGGAUUAAGCAUUCCGCCUGGGGAGUACGGUCGC